rnacentral:lncRNA from 1 species
UUGAAGGCAAUGAGGUUGCUGAUGGGCUGGCUAAGGAAAGGGCUUCUCGUCCCUUUAUUGGACCUGAGCCUGCCCUGGGCAUUAGAUUUUAUGAAUUUGGGUGUGCUACCAGGGAUUAGUUGACAGCUCAACAUCUCAUUCACUGGAGGUCUACUUCUGGACUUAGGCAUGCAAAAGCUCUCAUUUUGGGUUGUUCUGUACAGAGAACUAGAGUUGCUUUCACUGAAUAAAAAUGAAGUUAGGAUUAUUAUGGGAUGCCUUUAUAGGGCACUGUCAUCUUGGAAGGCAUCUUCGUUUAAUUGGGAUUUGUUAAUAGAUGUCAGAAUGGGGAUGAAAUUCCUUGUCAUAUUUUGUGUGAAUGCAUGGCCCUUUCAGGGCUAAUAAGGUAUGGUCUCUUGGGAUGCAUAUCCCUCCAUCAGUAGAUGUUUAUAGUCAUAUCAUUGAAGAAGAUACUGUCUUUCGUGAUUAAGACAGGACUU